UCCUACGGGAGGCAGCAGUAGGGAAUCUUCCGCAAUGGACGAAAGUCUGACGGAGCAACGCCGCGUGAGUGAUGAAGGCUUUCGGGUCGUAAAACUCUGUUGUUAGGGAAGAACAAGUGCUAGUUGAAUAAGCUGGUACCUUGACGGUACCUAACCAGAAAGCCACGGCUAACUACGUGCCAGCAGCCGCGGUAAUACGUAGGUGGCAAGCGUUAUCCGGAAUUAUUGGGCGUAAAGCGCGCGCAGGUGGUUUCUUAAGUCUGAUGUGAAAGCCCACGGCUCAACCGUGGAGGGUCAUUGGAAACUGGGAGACUUGAGUGCAGAAGAGGAAAGUGGAAUUCCAUGUGUAGCGGUGAAAUGCGUAGAGAUAUGGAGGAACACCAGUGGCGAAGGCACUUUACUGGGCUAUUACUGACACUCAGAGACGAAAGCUAGGGUAGCAAAUGGGAUUAGAUACCCCAGUAGUCCUAGCCGUAAACUAUGGAUACUAGAUGUUGAACAGAUCGACCUGUGCAGUAUCAAAGCUAACGCGUUAAGUAUCCCGCCUGGGGAGUACGGUCGCAAGGCUAAAACUCA
rnacentral:rRNA from 1 species